GUGAUCAUGAUGUAACAGCAGCAUCCCGCUUUGUGAAGGCGGUUGUGCCGGUGCGAAUCCGGUUGGUCACCCCA
rnacentral:tRNA from 1 species